CCUACGGGUGGCAGCAGUGAGGAAUAUUGGUCAAUGGGCUUACGCCUGAACCAGCCAAGUCGCGUGAGGGAAGACUGCCCUAUGGGUUGUAAACCUCUUUUGUCAGGGAGCAAUUGGCGCUACGUGUAGCGUUAUCGAGAGUACCUGAAGAAAAAGCAUCGGCUAACUCCGUGCCAGCAGCCGCGGUAAUACGGAGGAUGCGAGCGUUAUCCGGAUUGAUUGGGGUGAAAGGGUGCGUAGGCGGAAUGCCAAGUCAGCGGUAAAAUCGCGGGGAUCAACCACGCUCCGCCGUUGAAACUGGCGUUCUUGAGUGGACGAGAGGAGAGCGGAAUGCGAUGUGUAGCGGUGAAAUGCGUAGAUAUAACGAAGAACUCCGGUGGCGAAAGCGACAUUCCGGCGCCCAACUGACGCUGAGGCACGAAAGCGUGGGUAUCGAACAGGAUUAGAUACCCGGGUAGUC
rnacentral:rRNA from 1 species